rnacentral:rRNA from 1 species
GACCUCGGAUCAGACGUGAGUACCCGCUGAACUUAAGCAUAUCACUAAGCGGAGGAAAAGAAACUAACC